CCUACGGGUGGCAGCAGUGAGGAAUAUUGGUCAAUGGACGAAAGUCUGAACCAGCCAAGCAGCGUGAAGGAUGACGGCCCUCUGAUUUUUAAACUCCUUUUAUAUGGGAGUAAAAUGUGACACGUGUUUAUUUUUGAAUGUCCCAUAAGUAUAAGGCUCGGCUAACUCCGUGCCAGCAGCCGCGGUAAUACGGAGGAUCCAAGCGUUAUCCGGAUUUAUUGGGUGUAAAGGGAGCGUAGGUGGUUUGUUAAGUAAGUUGUGAAAGUUCGAGGCUCAACCUCAGAAGUGCAUUUGAAACUGUCAGACUUGAGUACAGGAGGGGUGGGCGGAAUUCGUGGUGUAGCGGUGAAAUGCGUAGAUAUCAGGAAGAACACCGAUUGCGAAGGCAGCUUACUAGACUGUAACUGACACUGAGGCACGAAAGCGUGGGUAUCAAACAGGAUUAGAUACCCUUGUAGUC
rnacentral:rRNA from 1 species